rnacentral:rRNA from 1 species
UGAGGAACAUGACCUUCGGCGGGGGAGUAGCCGGCCCAACGGCCGGGUAAUACCGCGUACGACCACUUUGGGACAUCCCUAGGUGGUGAAAGCAGCAAUGCGCCGAUGGAGUGCCUCGCGGCCUAUCAGCUAGUUGGUGAGGUAACGGCUCACCAAGGCGACGACGGGUAGCUGGUCUGGAGGGGAUGGCCAGCCACAUUGGGACUGAGACACGGCCCAGACUCCUACGGAAGG